rnacentral:SRP_RNA from 1 species
GCCAGGGCAUAGUGGCACACCCGUGCAGUCCCAGCUGCUGGGGAGGCUGAGGUGAGAGAAUUGCUUGAGCCAGGAGUUCAGCGCUGUAGUGUUGCUUUGCUAGUUGGAUAUCCACACUUAACACACCACUGUGGUGACUUCCUGGGAGAAGCAGAGCACUAUUUGCCUAAGGAGGAGUGAACCAGCCCAGGUGGACAAUGGGAGCAGGUCAGACUCCCAUGCUUAUGAGUGAGUCUGUGAAUAGCUACUGCAGUUCAGCCUGGGUUUACAACUGGCAAGACCCUGUCUCU